rnacentral:lncRNA from 1 species
AGAGGAGGGAAGGAGCUGUCUUGGGCAGGUGUCGACCGUAUUCCCCCAAGGUGCUUCCAGCUGAGGCACACUCACCUGUGCUGGUCACUGCUCAGUGGUCACCACUCCCUCCCCCCGCCCCCCGAAGAGGGUCUGACUGGGUGCCGCGUCCGCAUCUUGGACACUGACCCAGCAAUGCAGCCCCAUGACCAGCAAUAUGGAGUCACAUCACGGGCAUUAUAAACUUUUCCUAGAAACAGAAGUGUUUUCUCUGAAUAGCCAUCUAAAUAAGAAUUUUCUUUAGACUUUACCGUAAUAGUUCUUGUUUAAGAAAUGAUUUUAGGGAGUUCCCAUUGUGGCUCAGUGGUUAACGAACCCAACUAGUAUCCAUGAGGGUGCAGGUUCGGUCCCUGGCCUUGUUCAGUGGGUUAAGGAUCUGGCAUUGGGGUAGGUCAGCUUGGAUUCUGCGUUGCUGUGGCUGUGGUGUAGGCUGACAGCUGCAGCUCCGAUUCCACCCCUUCGACCCCUACCCUGGGAACUGCCAUAUGCUGUGAGUAUGGCCCUAAAAAGACAAAAAAAAAAAAAAAAGGAAUGAUUUUAGGAGUUCCCAUCGUGGUUCACCUGGAAACCUCCAUAUGCUUCGGCUGCAGCACUAAAAAAAGCAAAUAAAUAAAUAAAUCCUCACUAAUGCAGCUUAAAAUGCAGAUAGUAUGUCCUGGAGAUUUCUAACCAUCCAGAAGAACUGUGCCUGGGGAAUGCUGGCCAACUCAGAUUUGUUUGUUUUCCUCUUGAAUUAUGGCAUGCAGUCCAUGUGCAGUGGCAGAACCCCUGAGCCAGAAGGAACCUCACUGCUAAAGGUCUAAGUCCCUUGAUUUUUACACAAGGACUUGGGCACAGGAGAGCUUACCCCAGGCUGUCAGGCAAAUAGGAGCUGAGGGCUGGAAUGCAGGGUCCCUGAAGUGGCAGAGCUGAGAGGAGGCAGCAGCAAAAGCCACACCCAGGGUGUACAUAGUGUGUGGUUGCCUCUUCAUUGUCAAAAAUUUGGUAAUAUUUUCUGGGUAUCAAGAAAGAAAACAGAGGAGUUCCCGUUGUGGCUCAGCAGGCUAAGAACCUGACUAGUGUCCACUAGGACAAGGGUUCGCUCCCUGGCCUCGCUCAGUGGGUCAAGGAUUUGGCAUUGCCAUAUGCUGCGGUGUAGUUCACAGAUGCGGCUCAGAUCCAGCAUUGCCGUGGCUGUGGUAUAGACUGGCAGGUGUAGCUCUUAUUCAACCCCUAGCCUGGGAACCUCCAUAUGUCACAGGUGCAGCCCUAAAAAGGGGAGAGAGAGAGAGAGAGAGAGAGAGAGAGAGAGAGAGAGAAAGAAAGAAAGGGAAACUGAGUCCUUCCUGUAGGUUCACAACUCAUUCUGAGUAAUACAUGUAUAUUUUUAGGAUUGUUGUCAACUCUGGGAAAGGAAAUUGGAGUAGCAGAGGGGGUCUUCUCUGGCUGCGAUUAAAUAUCUCUUACAAAUCGUACAAAACCCUAUGGCCACGUGGUCACAUUGCUGGGCCCUGCUUGGGCCGGAUGAGGCCAAGAGGACGGGCCGUGGUCAGCAAGCCUCUGAGCAUCCCAUGCAGAAAUAUCUCACCCUAUGGUUCAUGCAGGGCAGCUUAGAGCUCUGGUGCACAAAAGCUUCCCUAAGCACCCAUCAUGUCUGCUGAAAUGUAACGUGCUGUGCACCCUUUAUGUCAUCGCGUAAUGUAUCUCAGAAUGAAAAAGCUCUGAAAAUUCCAUGUUCUGCAAAUGAAAAAUGAUAGAAUUGUCACUAUCAUUGUGUUUAGCACUCAGGUAAAUAUUUUAUUGAUUUUUGGCUAAAAGUCCUUACAGGUCGAGCGAGUUGGACGGGACCUUUAAAAUACACAGAUAAGGAGUUCUUGUGGCUUAGUGGGUUAAGAAUUCUCAGUGUCCAGGAGGAUUCAGGUUUGAUCCCUGGCCUCACUCAGUGGGUUAAGCCAAAAGCUGCAGCUUAGGCCACCCAUAUGGCUCAAUCCAGCAUUGCUGUGGCUGAGGCGUAGGGCUACAGCUGCAGCUCUGAUUCAACCUCUAGCCUGGGAACUUCCAUAUGUCGCAGGUGUGGCACUAAAAAUUAAAAAAAAAAAAAAAAAAAAAAAA